CGGCAGGCCUAAUACAUGCAAGUCGAGGGGUAACAGGAAGUGCUUGCACUUCGCUGACGACCGGCGUACGGGUGAGUAUCGCGUAUACAAUCUGCCUCAUACUAGGGAAUAGCCCGAAGAAAUUUGGAUUAAUGCCCUAUAGUAUCUUUUUAAGGCAUCUUAUUAAGAUUAAAGUUUUCGGUAUGAGAUGAGUAUGCGUUCUAUUAGCUAGUAGGUGUGGUAACGGCACACCUAGGCUACGAUAGAUAGGGGCCCUGAGAGGGGGAUCCCCCACACUGGUACUGAGACACGGACCAGACUCCUACGGGAGGCAGCAGUAAGGAAUAUUGGUCAAUGGACGAAAGUCUGAACCAGCCAUGCCGCGUGCAGGAUGACUGCCCUAUGGGUUGUAAACUGCUUUUAUAUAGGAAGAAAAACUUUCUCGUGAGAAAGCUUGACGGUACUAUAAGAAUAAGGAUCGGCUAA
rnacentral:rRNA from 1 species